AGGCCCAGAGAGAGAGGCAGGGUCUGAUCCGCAGCAUCUGUGGCAGCUGUUGAUCAGCCAUUGCCUCUCUCUUUGUCUCUU
rfam:Myotis davidii contig110026, whole genome shotgun sequence.